CUGGAGGCCUUCCGUAGUGAGUAGUUGGAGUCGGCUGUGGGGGAUAAGCUGGCGAGAUAUUUAUGAAAACAGUCAUUUUUGUAAUUUUUGAUGAUUUUGGUUAGUUUUCUAGUUGCG